rnacentral:rRNA from 1 species
AUUGAACGCUGGCGGCAGGCUUAACACAUGCAAGUCGAGCGGGGGAGGUUACUUCGGUAACUGACCUAGCGGCGGACGGGUGAGUAAUGCUUAGGAAUCUGCCUAUUAGUGGGGGACAACAUUCCGAAAGGAAUGCUAAUACCGCAUACGCCCUACGGGGGAAAGCAGGGGAUCUUCGGACCUUGCGCUAAUAGAUGAGCCUAAGUCGGAUUAGCUAGUUGGUGGGGUAAAGGCCUACCAAGGCGACGAUCUGUAGCGGGUCUGAGAGGAUGAUCCACCACACUGGGACUGAGACACGGCCCAGACUCCUACGGGAGGCAGCAGUGGGGAAUAUUGGACAAUGGGCGGAAGCCUGAUCCAGCCAUGCCGCGUGUGUGAAGAAGGCCUUUUGGUUGUAAAGCACUUUAAGCGAGGAGGAGGCUCCUUUAGUUAAUACCUAAAGAGAGUGGACGUUACUCGCAGAAUAAGCACCGGCUAACUCUGUGCCAGCCGCCGCGGUAAAAC